rnacentral:lncRNA from 1 species
UGAGGCAGGAGAAUCACUUGAACCCGGGAAGCAGAGGUUGCAGUGAGCUGAGAUGGCGCCACUGCACUCCAGCCUGGCGACAGAGGGAGACUCUGUCUCAACAACAACAACAAAAAAACUCUUUCAGGCCAGGCAUGGUGGCUCACACCUGUAAUCCCAGCACUUUGGGAUGACACAGGGGGAUCACCUGAGUCAGGAGUUUGAGACUAGCCUGGUCAACAUGGCGAAACCCCAUCUCUACUAAAAAAAACUAUAUAUAUAUAUAGUAGCCGGGCAUGGUGGUGGGCACCUGUAGUCCCAACUACUCAAGAGGCUGAGGCAGGAGAAUCACUUGAACCUGGGGUGCGGAGGCUGCAGUGAGCCAAGAUCGCACCACUGCACUCCAGCCUGGGUGACAGAGUGAAUCUCUGUCUCGAACAAAUAUAUACACUUUCAUUCUUUCGAAAAUGUUUAGUAAGCUGGGCAGCAUGAUACACACAUAUAGUCCCAGCUACUCUGGAGCCUGAGGCAGGAGGAUCACUUGAGUCCAGGAGUUCUGGGCUAUAGUGCACUAUGAUGAUCAGGUGUCCACACUAAGUUUGGUAACAAUAUCUUGUCCCCCUGGGAGUAUGGGACCACCAGGUUGCCCAAGGAGGGGCGAACUAGCCCAGUUCAGAAGCAUAAAAGGUCAAAACUCCCGUGGUGAUCAUUAAUGGGAUUAAGCCUGUGAAUAGCCGCUGCACCACAGCCUGGGCAACACAGCUGAGAACCUGCCUCUGAAAAUUAAAAUAAUGUUUAUUAAGCACUUACUCUGAGCUAGGCACUAUGCUAGAUGCUAGGAAUACUAAAUGAAUAAAAUAGAUCCAAACCUCAACAAGUUAGUAGUCUGCUUGAGAAACAGACAUAAACAAGCAAUUGUAACAGUGUGUAUUAUAAUAGUGUGUCAGUACAAAUAAUUAGAAUAGUGUGUCAGUGUGUAGAAAGCUAUGAGAGUUGGAGUUAAGAUUUCAGGGCAGGGCGCCGUGGCUCACACCUGUACUCCCAGCACUUUGGGAGGCCAAGGCGGGCGGAUCACGAGGUCAGGAGAUCGAGACUGUCCUGGCUAACACGGUGAAACCCUGUCUCUACUAAAAAUACAAAAAAUUAGCCGGGCGUGGUGGCGAGUGCCUGUAGUCCCAGCUAAGCGGGAGGCUGAGGCAGGAGAAUGGCGUGAACCCAGGAGGCGGAGCUUGCAGUGAACCGAGAUCGUGCCACUGCACUCCAGCCUGAGCGACAGAGCAAGACUCCGUCUCAAAAAAAAAAAAAAAAGAUUUCAGAAAGCGGCCGGGUGCAG